GAUGAACGCUGGCGGCGUGCCUAAUACAUGCAAGUCGAGCGAACAGACGAGGAGCUUGCUCCUCUGACGUUAGCGGCGGACGGGUGAGUAACACGUGGAUAACCUACCUAUAAGACUGGGAUAACUUCUGGAAACCGGAGCUAAUACCGGAUAAUAUCUUUAACCGCAUGGUUCAAUAUUGAAAGACGGUUUUGCUUUCACUUAUAGAUGUAUCCCCGCGGCAUUGUCUAGUUGGUAAGGUAACGGCUUACCAAGGCAACGAUGCUUACCCGACCUGAGAGGUGGAUAGGCAACAUGGGAACUGAGACACGGUCAAGACUCCUACGGGAGGCAGCAGUAGGGAAUCUUCCGCAAUGGGCGAAAGCCUGACGGAGAAACGCCGCGUGAGUGAUGAAGGUCUUCGGAUCGUAAAACUCUGUUAUUAGGGAAGAACAAAUGUGUAAGUAAAUAUGCACGUCGUGACGGUACCUAAUCAGAAAGCCACGGCUAACUACGUG
rnacentral:rRNA from 1 species